CUCCCCCUCCCCGCCCCUCUUUUGAGGGCGGCGCGCCCAUUUUUGGAGCGGCCUGCCGGGCCCGCCCGGGCCUUCUCCGGUGUUGAGCAGUGCGCCCCAAGACGCUGCGUCGGCCGCCACUCGCUUGUUCGUCCGCCCCGGCACCGCCGCUGCUCUGUGUGGACUAAUUUUUCCCGUGAGCAGAGAAGAAAAGAACAGCCGCCACCAUGGACGCGAUCAAGAAGAAGAUGCAGGCGAUGAAGCUGGAGAAGGACAAUGCCAUGGACAAGGCAGACACCUGCGAGCAGCAGGCUAAGGACGCCAAUGCUCGCGCAGACAAGGUGAAUGAGGAGGUGCAGGAGCUGAAGAAGAAGCUGACCCAGGUUGAGGAGGACCUGGUGAACACCAAGAACAAGCUGGAGCAGGCCAACAAGGACCUCGAGGAGAAGGAGAAGACACUGCAGAACGCGGAGAGCGAGAUGGCUGCCCUGAACAGGAAGCUGCAGCUGAUUGAGGAGGACCUCGAGAGGUCUGAGGAGCGACUCGCCACCGCCUCCACCAAGCUGGCCGAGGCAUCAGAGGCCGCUGAGGAGUCCAAGCGAAUGUGCAAAGUGCUGGAGAACCGCAGCUUGCAGGACGAGGAGCGCAUGGACCAGCUGACCAACCAGCUCAAGGAGGCCCGACUGCUCGCUGAGGACGCCGACGGAAAGUCCGACGAGGUGUCACGCAAGCUGGCCUUCGUUGAAGACGAGCUGGAAGUGGCUGAGGACCGAGUCAAGUCCGGAGAUGCCAAGAUCAUGGAGCUUGAGGAAGAGUUGAAGGUCGUCGGCAACAGCUUGAAAUCUCUGGAAGUAUCAGAGGAGAAGGCCAACCAGCGAGUAGAGGAGUACAAGAAGCAGAUCAAGACCCUGACUGUCAAGCUAAAAGAGGCGGAGGCCCGUGCCGAGUUCGCCGAGAAGACGGUCAAGAAGCUGCAGAAGGAGGUGGACAGGCUGGAAGACAACCUAUUCAACGAGAAGGAGAAAUACAAGUCGAUUACCGACGACUUGGACUCCACGUUUGCCGAGCUUACAGGAUAUUAAACAAAAAAAAAUAUCGCCUCCAAAACAAACAAAAAAAAGUUGCACAUGCAAAUGUCUGUUACUUGUCUACACGUCUCCGUUCUUCUCUCACAACAACAACAAAAAUGUGUUACUGUUCUGUCCGACUUAACAACGCAUUGUGUGUGUUUUGUGCUGUUGCCAAAAAAAGACUUUUCCGGGUGAUGCAAACAAAAAAAGACGGACUAUUAACUGCUGCUGCCUCGUGAGGACUGCUGCAAGAAGACGAGCUGGGCAUCAACAAGGACAGAUACAAGUCGCUGGCCGACGAGAUGGACUCCACUUUCGCCGAGCUGGCCGGCUACUAGAGCGCUGCCACCCGCUUCUGACGUCACUGCUGCCACCGACACCAGCGCCAUCAUCUCGCAGGCUGCCGCAUCUCCUCCGACAUCCACCAAAGGCAGCGAGAGUCCUGCAACAACGACCAACUGGCAAAUGGCACUGCCACUCACAACAAUGCUUUUCGUGUGUUUCCUCUCUUACUUUCUUGUCGCUUCUCUCUUUCUCCUACGUUCGUUCUCUAAUUUAGCUGUAAAAUCGCUCAGCAGCUCCUGUCUCUAUCUUUCUCUCUCUGUCUUUCUCCAUUUCGGCUUGCUUUACAAUCGAUUGAUACGGGAAAAGAAACUUACAGGCAAUCGUCCACUCAUUCUGACGUCCAUGGGGCUCUUACGGGAGGCGCAUUCUCAAAACUAAGUGCGCCGAAUGAUGUUUCACACUUUUCAUCACAUACCACGAAUGAAGCCUGCAUAAAAUUAGACGCGUGCAAACAUUACAUUCAACAUAUCAUAUGACUAUUAUGUUUUCUGUAUCUUCUUUCAGUUUUGUUGUAAGAAGUUAACUGGACAAUACUCGAGACCAGUUCUGAUAUGGAGUAACAUAUUGACAAUGUUGAGAGUACUUGUGUGUUAAAUAUAGAGCAGAUAUGUCAACUAAAAGCUCAAUAUCUGUAAAUUUUAGUUCUUUAAUUAAAUUAUUGAACUAAACCAGAAGUUUACUGUCCACUUUAUUUUUCGAAUAAAAUAACUGUGACGUUCAA